UCAAGCAAAAAAGAGCGCAGGGUGGAUGCCUUGGCACUAAGAGCCGAAGAAAGACGUGAUAAGCUGCGAAAAGCUGCGGGGAGAUGCAAAUAAUCUUUGAUCCGCAGAUGUCUGAAUGGGGAAACCCGGCUGGAAGGACUCCAGUCAUCCAUACGCCAAUCCAUAACGUAUGGAAGGGAACCCGGUGAACUGAAACAUCUAAGUAGCCGGAGGAAGAGAAAGAAACAUCGAUUUCCAGAGUAGCGGCGAGCGAAAUGGAAAGAGGCCAAACCGUUGUGCGUGCACAGCGGGGUUCGGACCGCAUAAUUGAUUCAGUGAUUCUAGCAGAAAGGUUUUGGGAAAGCCUGCCGGAGAGGGUGAAAGCCCCGUAAGCGAAAGGAAAGCCAGCUGAGCGGUAUCCAGAGUACAUCGAGACACGAGAAACCUUGAUGGAAUGAGCGGGGACCACCCCGUAAGCCUAAAUACUACUUAGUGACCGAUAGCGCAUAGUACUGUGAAGGAAAGGUGAAAAGGACCCCGGGAGGGGAGUGAAAGAGAACCUGAAACCCUGUGUUUACAAUCUGUGGAAGGUCUUUAUAUGACCAACCGCGUACUUUUUGUAGAACGGUCCGGCGAGUUACGCGUACUGGCAAGGUUAAGUGCUUAAGGCACGGAGCCGAAGCGACAGCGAGUCUUAACUGGGCGAUGAGUCAGUACGAGUAGACCCGAAACCGGGUGAUCUAUCCAUGUCCAGGAUGAAGAUGCCGUAAAAGGCAUUGGAGGUCCGAAGCCACAUCCGUUGAAAAGGGUGGGCAUGAGGUGUGGAUAGGGGAGAAAUUCCAAUCGAACCCGGAGAUAGCUGGUUCUCCUCGAAAUAGCUUUAGGGCUAGCCUCGUUUUAGUCUUAUGGAGGUAGAGCACUGAAUUUCCGCGGGGGCGUCAAAGCUUACCAAAGAAUAUCAAACUCCGAAUGCCAUGUAGAUGAUGAACGGGAGUCAGACUGCACGAGAUAAGUUGGGCGGUCAAAAGGGAAAGAGCCCAGACCACCGGCUAAGGUCCCAAAGUGUGUGUUAAGUGGAAAAGGAUGUGGGAAUUCGAAGACAACUAGGAUGUUGGCUCAGAAGCAGCCAUACAUUCAAAGAGUGCGUAACAGCUCACUAGUCGAGAGUCCCUGCGCCGAAAAUGUCCGGGGCUGAAACACAACACCGAAGCCGUGGACUCCGUAAGGAGUGGUAGAGGAGCAUUCUUAAAACCGACGAAGCUGUACCGGUAAGGAGCAGUGGAGGGAUAAGAAGAGAGAAUGCCGGAAUGAGUAGCGAGAGGAAGGUGGGAAUCCUUCCGGCCGAAUAUCUAAGGUUUCCAGAGUAAAGCUGAUCUGCUCUGGGUAAGUCGGGGCCUAAGGAGAGGUCGCAAGACGUAUCCGAUGGACAACAGGUUUAGAUUCCUGUACCGCAUAUAAACAGAACUGUGGGGACGCAUGUGGAAAGCAUAAGCCGGGAAUGGAAAGACCGGUACAAGCGGGGUAGGUGUGUGACAGGCAAAUCCGUCAUAUAAGCCGAAGACGUGAUGUGGAGCGAAAUUAAGUAGUGAAGUAUGUGAGCCAUGUGCCGAGAAAAGCCGCUAUUGUUUUAUAUGUGCCCGUACCGUAAACCGACACAGGUGGAUGAGGAGAGAAUCCUAAGGCCGACGGAAGAAGCAUUGUUAAGGAAUUCGGCAAAAUGACCCCGUAACUUCGGGAGAAGGGGUGCCUGCGAGAGCAGGCCGCAGAGAAUAGGCUCAAGCAACUGUUUAGCAAAAACACAGGUCUAUGCGAAACCGAAAGGUGAGGUAUAUGGGCUGACGCCUGCCCGGUGCUGGAAGGUUAAGGGGAGAGGUUAGCGCAAGCGAAGCUUUGAACUUAAGCCCCAGUAAACGGCGGCCGUAACUAUAACGGUCCUAAGGUAGCGAAAUUCCUUGUCGGGUAAGUUCCGACCCGCACGAAAGGCGUAAUGAUUUGAGCACUGUCUCGACAAUGCAUCCGGUGAAAUUG
rnacentral:rRNA from 1 species